rnacentral:lncRNA from 1 species
UUCUUCUUCCGCCUUCCCCUUUCCCUUUUUGUUUCCCGAUUAACACCCAAACCCCAUGGCCAGUGGCUCCCUCCUCGACGGUUCUUCACCAGUGACCCACCGGCUGACCAAUAUCACCGGUGGCCGGCCUAAGAUAUCCGUCUCCACCGUCGGUGAACCGAUGAUGCAAUGGGAUCGUUGAAGAAAGGGAGGCCCAAGCCGGUGGUUCCCCACUCCAAAAAAUCCUGCCGACCGCCACCGGAACACCAAAAUGGUGGACCGUCGGACUCCCCCCGACCCAACGGCCGAAUUUCCGGCGAAUGUGUCGACGAUAGGCUAAUGGAUGGGAGAUCGGUGGGGGGUUUCAAAACAAAAAGAACUCCGGCGACUUUUUUUCUUUUUUUAAUUGACUGGCGGGUGGCUGCCGGAGAUCUGGGACCACCGUGGCAGCAUGGUGCGACGGGUGCCGGAAGAGCUGAAGUCCGGCCAUCUUGAUGCCCUUUCAAUGG